AAUUCUACCUGCAGCAUCUACAUUUAAGGGGUAAAAAUGCAACUCAGGGAGAGAAGGUAAUAAAAACAUGGCAGAAAAUUUGGAGAUCUACCAAAAAUGUGUUAGAAUCCCACAAACCAAAAUGUGAAUGGCCAUAUGAGAAUAUAGGCAUUGUUAAAGUUUAAUAAUGUAUUUCCAUAUUGGAAGGAUAAGACUGAGUAGUAUUCCAAGAAUUAACAUUCAUUCUAAUAAUCAGUUCUUAGUUAAGUGACUGCUGAUAUAAGAGUAACCAAUACCAGAGUCUCCUAUUUUUUUUUUUUAAGGCCGCACCCACAGCAUAUGGAGGUUACUGGGCCAGGGAGCUAAUCAGAGCCGCAUCUGCGACCUACACCACAGCUCACAGCAAUGCCAGAUCCCCAACCCACUGAGCAAGGCCAGAAUCGAACCCACACCCCCAUGCAUACAAUCAGGCUUGUUACUACUGAGCCACAAUGGGAACUUCCAAAGUUUUCUAUUGUUGACAGAUUACUCCAAAUUUAGCAGCUUAAAACAGCAGACUUUCUUUUUUUAACCUCACAGUUCCCUUGAGUCAGGAAUUUGGGCACAACCUCACUGGGUUCUCGGCUCAGGGUCUCACAGGCUACAGUCAGGCUGGUGGAUAGAGCUCUGCUUCUUUGUGGAGCUUGGGCCUCCCUCCCAGGGCUGUCAGGUUUUUGACAGUAUUCAGUUUCGCGCUAUGGUGGCCCGAGGUCUCCGUUUUUUGCUGGCUGUCUGCAGGCAGCAAUCUCAAUUGCUAGACCCUCGCACAGAUCCCCGCCAUGGGGCUCUCUCAUAGAUCCUCUCACAGCAUGGCAAUUUGUUUCUUCCAAGCCAGCAAGAGACUGUUUCACCAGAUUCUGCUAAACUGGAGUCUUUACUAACAGUGUGAUCCCCAGAGUGACAUCCUGUCAUCUUUGCCCUAUUCUGUCUGAUGGAAGGAAGUGGCAGAUUCUGCCCAAACGCAAGGGGAGAGGCAGGAGAUGUGUGUGAUGGGGGGUCACCUUAGGGCAUGUCAGCUGCACUCAAGAAUCUGCCAAACGCAGGAGAGCUACGUUUGAUCUGAGGGAAGGAAACCUUCUGCGGUCACGGAUCGUGACCAUGGAAAACCCAUUGAACGUGCCAGUUGUCGGGGUGGAAGGCUCCCCAUGGACUAGGCCAGCAAACCUGGUAAGGGAGACUCUUUGUUUGCGGGGCACUGGAGUGGUUAACUCAGAGUUAAGCUCUUUGUUUCUUUUUUGUUUCUCUUGAGACUUUCCCUUAUGUACCUUACCACUGGGCUUUUUACCCUGUUCAGGUGCAGCUUCAUGUGAGGGCAAUCGUUUAAUCCUAUUUUUCAUAAUAAACGGUUAACGAAUCCGACUAGGAACCAUGAGGUUGUGGAUUCGGUCCCUGCCCUUGCUCAGUGGGUUAACGAUCCAGCGUUGCCAUGAGCUGUGGUGUAGGUUGCAGACACGGCUCGGAUCCCGUGUUGUUGUGGCUCUGGUGUAGGCCAGCGGCUACAGCUCCAAUUAGACCCCUAGCCUGGGAACCUCCAUAUGCCACGGUAGUGGCCCAAGAAAUAGCAAAAAGACAAAAAACAAAAAACAAAAAACAAAUAUAAGUAAUAAUCCUAAAUGCCUAGAAAAAAGUUCUUUGAUUUCUAAAUAAAAGGUAAAGGGGUUAAAAAAGGUUUUUUCCUUCUACCAGGUAAGGUAUCAGAAACAACUUGAAUUUUGUGUUCAGAGUACACCGAUACUAUGUUUGGUGGACUGGUUUUUAGUUUGAAGAAUUGUAGUUUAUUAAAACCAAAAAGAGUGUCGCAACACACUCCUGAAAUAUGUGUGAUUACAUAUUAAAAUGUUCCAGAUAGAUUUACUGAAUAAUCAGGAUAGCUUUCUCAUAAUCAGAACUUUGGGGUUGCCGUAGCUGUGUGUCAUUCAGUCCUGCCACUUAAAAGUUACUACUAAAAUAGAGCUUAAAAUGCUUAAUGGAAAUAGGUAUAUUCUUCUGGGAUGCUCUGUAUUUUUGUGUUUGUUAAGUGCCCUUGUUUUAUUCAUAGUGUUGUCAAUGUGUGUGUAUAUUUGCACAUGUGAGCCCCCAGAUAUUGUGUGUUUGAUAUUUUUCUAUACUGUGGGGAUGCAGUGGGGGUAGAGGUGAUAGGGAAGGGAUACAGAAAAGCUUACUGUAUGCUUCAAAGUUUGUUAGAAAUGUUCUUUUCUUCCUUGAAAUCUUUAUGAAGAUUAUUGUAGAUUUACAUGCAGUUGUACAGUGUUCUUUUGCAAAUUUACUGAGGGAUACUUGCUCAGUCUGGAAGGGUAGAGAGCUAGACUAGUGCUUCUUAUACUUUAAUGUGCAUUAGAAUUGCUUGUUAAAAUAACAGCUUCUAAUUCAGCUGGGCUGGGGUAGGGGCUGAGAUUCUACAUCGCUGGUUAUGCGGUGCAAUUGACCCACGGACUGAGCGCACUUUAGGUAGCAGGGUCCGCUUUUCGGGAGUGUCAAAUUCUUUGCUAUUUUGGGGAAUUUAUUUUGUUUCAGCUUUUCUAAGUCUGACCCUAAAUCUUUGGGGGUCUACAGUCCCCAUGAACCCCCUCCUCUUAUACUGUUCUACGACUGACUUUUCUUCAGUCCUCUCAUUUACUGCAUUAGCUGUUGAGUAUUUAUUUCACGUGUUUAUCGAAUGCCUCCUAUUUGGCAGUUUCUGUGGGAGAUGCUAAGUGAAAAGAGCAGAACUUUCCUGGCUUCUUGGAACUUACCUCUAAAUGUAGUACCGUCCAUAUUGGCUGGUGCCUGCCAUACUGGAUAGCACAGGCCUCGUGGGAGAAACGGGGUAUCGAACAAGUAAUCACACAGGAUAUCUCCAAGAAGGAUUUAUUUCCUCAUGUACUAGAGAUUACUUACCUAUUAUCUGGGGUCAGAAAGGUUGUUGUAGAUACCUUGUCAAAUGGCAUAAUAUAAAUUAUGGCCUUUAAGAAGGACUUGGUGAUCUAAAAAAGAGGCAAACCAAGGCGGGUGACCUUGGUUGUCAGAAGGAAGAUUUAAUCUCUUUUCUUUAAUGCACUUUGACCAGUUGGCAUUUGAACUCGGUCAGACUUGAGUUGGAUUUUUAUUUAGGUUUAAAUAGUCUCAUCUUUAAUGAUGUAAAAUUUUAUAACACUGAAUUUUUACAGUCAAAGAGAAUUGUACUUUAUUUUCCAACAUUUUCCUGUGGUUAUUUUAAUUAUGUCUUCUCCUGUCCUCUGUUUCUGUGAUGUUUAUUUCUUUUAAUUCUUUCAGAGAAGAUCCCUUAGGUUCUUGCACUGUGGCUAUUAUUUCUUGUAUAGUGUUUCAUGGCUUCUUUUUGCCUUAUAUUUUGCUUGCAGAGUGCCUUUAGUGUCAGGUCUCUAAAUUAUUGCAGCUUGCCUUUGAUGCAUUUGGUUAACUUAGUUAAUGGAUGGUCUGGAGAAAUGUUUUGAAGUUGUGGGAUGACAGGGGUAGCCCAAGGGAUUGGGCUUUCUGGUUUCUGAACAAUUUGUUGAGAUUAAUAAGGUGCUUUUUAAAAAUUAUUUUUGGGAGUUCCCAUCAUGGCUCAGUGGUUAACGAAUCCAACUAGGAACCAUGAGGUUGUGGGUUUGAUCCCUGGCGUUGCUCAGUGGGUUAAGGAUCUGGUGUUGCCAUGAGCUGUGGUGUAGGUCGAAGACAUGGCUCGGAUCCCGAGUUGCUGUGGCUCUGGCG
rnacentral:lncRNA from 1 species